rnacentral:lncRNA from 12 species
GUCAGACCUAAAUAUUGUGCUCUUUUUGCAUUUCAUGAGCCUUAAUUGCUUCUGUUUACUCUAAUACAGGGUAUCUAAAUUAUGAACUGCAGAGCGCUGUUGGAUAUGCACAGAAAUCCACAGGAUUAAUAUUCUUGGGUUUUCUAGCUGUUCACUAACUUGGAAAGAGAGGUACAGCUGUGUGCAGCCCUCUCCUGAAAUGCCCUGCUGAGGAAGCUGAAAUGAUGGUGUGCGGAAAUUCACACAAGGAUGAUUUGGAUGCUUGGAUUUGUGUGCUUUGAAUAUUGCUAAAGGCAAACAUUCACCUCUUUUCUUAUUUCAAAAAUAUUUUCU